rnacentral:tRNA from 1 species
GGGAGUAUGGCUCAAUUGGUAGAGAGCCUGCCUGGCAAGAAUAAGUCCCUGAGUUCAAAUCCCUUGUACUUCCA